UGGCGGCCCGUCUAAUACAUGGGAAAAAAACGAGAAUGUGUAGCAAUACACAUGUACAGUGGCUUUUUGCUGAGGACUACAUGGGUAACCUACCCUCGAGUGGGGAAUAACUAGCCGAAAGGUUAGCUAAUACCGCGUACGCUUCCCGGACUGCGGUUCGGGAAGGAAAGCGAUACCGUGGGUAUCGCGCUCUUGGAUGGGCUCAUGCCCUAUCAGCUUGUUGGUGAGGUAACGGCUCACCAAGGCUUCGACGGGUAGCUGAUCUGAGAGGAUGAUCAGCCACACUGGCACUGCGACACGGGCCAGACUCCUACGGGAGGCAGCAGU
rnacentral:rRNA from 1 species